UACGAGGGGGGGCGAGCGUUGUUCGGAAUUAUUGGGCGUAAAGGGUGCGUAGGCGGCCUGACAAGUCUGAUGUGAAAUCCCUGGGCUCAACCCAGGGCCUGCAUCGGAAACUGUCGGGCUUGAGUAUGGGAGAGGUGAGUGGAAUUUCCGGUGUAGCGGUGAAAUGCGUAGAUAUCGGAAGGAACACCUGUGGCGAAAGCGGCUCACUGGACCAUUACUGACGCUGAGGCACGAAAGCUAGGGGAGCAACAGG
rnacentral:rRNA from 1 species